rnacentral:lncRNA from 1 species
AUCUGAGUCAUCUGUGGGGACUUGCCACCACAUCUAGAUGUGAUUUGAACUUCACAGCUCCUUAGUAAGAGCUAGUUUAUAUGAUUUCAUUUUGUGUAGAUGGCAGAUCUGAAGAAAAUUACAUACGGAAAGAUCCAAGACAGAGAUGUACAGAUGCUUUCCCCAAAAACAUGGUGUACUCAAACAAAAGUUAAACAGUGGGAACUAGUAAAAAGGAAUUAAGAAAAAGAAGGCAAGGAGUAAAACUAUCCAUUGCUGUUUUGAGAGAUCAACUAUAUCUCCAUGAUUUGAACAAGCAUAUCCAUAUUUUCUACUUUCAAGAACAUUCGAUAAAAGUUUCAUUCCCUGGUAUGAGCUUCCCCUUGUGAGCAUGGGCUUCAGGAUCUGCUGGAACAAGAUGGCAUCAUGUUGAGUGACAAGAAGUUGAACUUGGAAAGAAAGAAAACAAGAUUUGAUGACACAACUACACCUUUGGGGCUAAGACUUGCUUGGAUCAGAGAGGCCUAAAUGUACUGAGCGCAUGCCAGUAAAGUUUUCAGUCAGCAAAUUCUUGCAAAUUGCAUUGUGAAAUGAUGAUAUGUUUCCCAUUACAUACACUCUUCUCAGGCAUCAGUAUUUGUCAUUUAUGAUUUUGUCAGCACAUAUCUUAUUAGAUGUAUGCCAUGAAAUAGAUGCAGAGAAUAAACUAAAUAAGGUAUGUUCUGAUGAAGACCGAUUUCAGCAUCAAUGAUGCCAAGAAAUGUAAAUAAGCAUUUAAGAUAUAUGUGAAAUAUUAUUGUUUGGAAACAAAGGUGCAAAUGCUUUUACUAAUAUAGAAAUGCUUGUGUGGUGAUAAAAGCUGUCAAGAGAAUUAUGUUUCCUGCUUCUGAGAUGCUCUUAAGUAUUUCGAGAAAAUGCAUGUCAAGAGUUAAUUGUCAAACAAAGGAAAAUAUAAUUGGUGAAGAUGUGUAUGUGUGUGUGUAUGUGUGUGUGUGUGUGUGUGUGUGUGAGAGAGAGAGAGAGAGAGAGAGAGAGAGAGAGAGAGAGAGAGAGAGAGUGCAUGUAUGUACACCUAUUGCACCUUCUUAGGAAAGAAGGGUUUCUUCUAUUCCCAAGCUACUAAAUGCUGAGCAGAUGGUCACAGGAGAAUAUUGGGAUGCACAGGCCUUGGAGAUUGAGGAAAAGCACAGACUUACAUGUCUGGACUCUUCUGGAGAAAGCAUAAAGGAAUGUUGCCGAGUCAGAAAUUACACAUCAUCACAAACAUUUCAUUAGCCACUUCCAGCUCUGUUGACUUCUGCAUGGACCUUGGGUUUGGCCAACCUGAGGAUGUUAGUAUUUGGCAGGUUGAAGUGGCUGAUGGUCCUGAUUUCCCUUUAUAGUAAAGGCAGGUCCACCAGUCCUGGAACGUGCAAGGACCCAUAAUAAUUCAGACUUGUGUUGUCUACAUG